rnacentral:rRNA from 1 species
GGGGAAUAUUGCACAAUGGGGGAAACCCUGAUGCAGCGCCGCCGCGUGAGUGAAGAAGUAUUUCGGUAUGUAAAGCUCUAUCAGCAGGGAAGAAAAUGACGGUACCUGACUAAGAAGCCCCGGCUAACUACGUGCCAGCAGCCGCGGUAAUACGUAGGGGGCAAGCGUUAUCCGGAUUUACUGGGUGUAAAGGGAGCGUAGACGGCAUGGCAAGCCAGAUGUGAAAACCCAGGGCUCAACCUUGGGAUUGCAUUUGGAACUGCCAGGCUGGAGUGCAGGAGAGGUAAGCGGAAUUCCUAGUGUAGCGGUGAAAUGCGUAGAUAUUAGGAGGAACACCAGUGGCGAAGGCGGCUUACUGGACUGUAACUGACGUUGAGGCUCGAAAGCGUGGGGAGCAAAC